UUGUUCUGCAGUCUUAUGUUACGGUUUUCAUCCACUAUGCUAGCACCUUUCAAUAAAUAUUGCAACUGUGAGAGGCUGUGGGGUCUGGGUUUUGGGUUAGGGUCCAAGUUCUCUCCCACAAGAUGUUUGUAGCUUUUCCCCAUCUGCUCACUGUGCUUAUUUUCUCCAAGGAUCUUCCACUUUUUGGAAUCAUUCUUCAUUGUUGGGUUUUUGUAUUGACCACAGGGAACACUCAGAAGCACAUGUGAGACUGAUGAUUAUCUUGCACAGCAGUUGUGGCCUUAUUCCUCCAGUCCUCCCCUUCUCUGCUGUCACUUUCUGUUCUCCACCUCCCCACAAACAUUUCCUGUAUGUAUGUAUCAUCAUUUUUAUUUUUGUGGGUGUGUAUGUAAGCAAUUGCAAAAAUGUAGUUGACAUUUUGGCCUCAAUGUGGGUUGGUUUGUGGCCACUUCUAUUUACUCCUGCUGAAGAGAUGUGAGGAAGUAGCUGAGAAAAUUUUGUUUUUUGUUUUCACAUGUUAAAUGCUUAAGUUUAGUGGGUUUGGAACUUCUAAGGAGUAGAACUCUUACAAAUAAACCUCACAGAGAGGAAGGAGAGAUGUUCUUUAUGAAAUCGAGAUGGAGUUAAUGAAGGCCUUUGAAGAUUAAGAUGAAAGACAUGAGUACAAGAACCACCCAACAAAAAAGCUUCAUUUCCUCUGGGUACGUGUUAGAAGGCUCAUCCAAGUCACUGGGAGUUGCCUUAAAGUUUCAUAGCGAUAACAAUCCCAUUUGUAAUGAAAAAAAAAAUCUAACCCUGUACUAGUCAUUAUUAUGGAUGCUCUCUAGGAAACCAGACUAAAAAUAUCAGCAGAUAACAUUAGAGCACUACAAGAUAAAAUCUCAAUUCAAAACACAUUAAAAUGAAAGUUGAUUUUCAUCAGUCCCACUUGGUAUCUGGGGCUAAUUUUGUAUCACUGAGAUGUUCUUGCUGAUUUAUCUGUGGAGUGGCAAGAGUCACGGACAGCACAGGAAGAGUAACAUACAAGUACCUGAAGAACAGUGCUACUCUGAACUGUACCAUUUGGUGUACUAAGUACAACAGCAGAAUCCAGAAAACAGGAUCCAGUCACCAUAACAUCUUGCUGGCAGCCAGAUCUGUGUUUUGCUGAUGAACUCAAGGCAAGCUGCUUCACUGAAGACUAUUUCCUAAGGGCUUCAGCUGAUUAGCUUUAGGUUCUUAUCUCUUCUGCCACGCAAAAUAUGUACAUGAGAAACCUAAUUUCUGCACGUUAGCAGCAAAAAGAUUAAAAGAAUAAAUGCCUUUCAUUCAGCUGUUCUCUACAAGCAGAAGACCUGCAUACUGAUGAAUGAGUACAGUUUGGAAUAUCAGAGAAGAAUGUCAACAGAGUACACACACCUUCCUUCAACAAAAUUGAAGACCUUCUUGCUGCUGUGUCUUUCUUGGUGCACAUGCUGCAGGAUGUCUUCUCUCUCAGUUAAUACUGUUAUACAUGUCCAGUAACAGGUUGCUGCUCUUAUUACUGCUGCUGUGUCUAGCAACCCAAGUAAUGAGUGAGGUUGUAUCACGGUAGGCACUUCAUACAGACAGGAAGUUGUCUGCCUCAGAAAGCUUACACUCUGUAUGAACCAAACUGGCUAAUGAGGAUGAGAGGGUAAACGAUACACAAGGAACUGAAGACCUGUAAGAAAGGCUGGAGGAAGCUGGCUCUUCUUGCAUGGUCAUGACCCCAAUGGACAGAUCUCCUCUCUACUGAUUCAACCUGUACUUUGUGGUCAAAUGGUGAAUUCAGGCAGGGGCCCAUCACUUCCAAAGGGCAUCUGGAGCUCACAGUGCAAAAGAGCUCAAAUCUCUCAGUUUGCCAGGCCUCCUCCCCACCAGCCACUGCUGUUGGCCAGCGCGGGGAUUCAGCGGUGGUGGGGAGCUCCCCAUGGUUUGUGGACCUCAGCUCUGGCUACAAGAACAAAUAGAAGCUGGCACGUUUGUGUAUACCCCUCUUGCUUGUAUCUGAUCUGUCUGACUUUGCUUUCUUAUCAGCUGAGUAAUAAAAUUAAUAGGAUAAUUGAUUUUUCUUUUAAUAAAGAAUGCAAAU